GCUGUUAACACUAACAGUUACAUAGGUGUUUCAGCUGUAGGAUCGCAGCUAUGAAAAACAAGAGAUGACACAAGCAGUCUGUCUCCCACACAUUUAAAGAUCACAAUCACAUUCUUACGUGCUUGCAGGAAUUCUCACUUGGCAGUUGCCAUUGUCACCGUUUCCGGUUACUGCCUGUUGACGUGCUGUUGCUGCUGGAGGACAGACUUUGAGACUCCAGAAGUAUGAAAGCACUGAUGUCAAAGGAAUUGUGCACGUGUAUCUGAAGACCACUGCUUGUGUAGCCAGACUGAACAAGCACAAGCCAGACAAAGGGAAGCCCUGAAAAGCAAUGGUCGUAAACUAUACUGAAUUAUAUUAAGGCCACUGUUCUUUUGGACAGCACUCAUGUGAGGAUUGCCUGAAUGUUACGACUGAAUUUUCCAGUCGUGGAAUUAUUCAGGUGAAAUGUACAGGCCUCCAACUAAGAGAGCAGCUGUUGGCACCAGCUCAAGUCUGAUGCUGGUACAGGUUUGCCAGAUCUUUGUGUAGCCGAUGCAGUGAUGGACUGGACAUGUUUUCCUCGGAUUACACAAAGAAUACUGGAAAACUUCAAAUUGAUGCUGGUAAAGAAAAUGCAAAUAUUAUGGUAAGUAUUUUUCAUUUAAUAUAAUUAGUAAAGGCUUUUUAAAGCACAAAAACGUUUAUGAUAUGCUUAAUUGAUGGUAUGGGGCUGUGAAUGUAUUAAUGUUUGAAAUAAAUUUUAGAUACAAUGCUCUUAAAGUAUAUGCUUAAUGUUAAAUAAGGAAAAUAUAGUGAAUUGACAAAAUGUAUUUUGUAAAGAAAUAUUUAGUGGUUUGAAAAUUCAAAGACAACCUAUGAAGAACAAGCCUACAUCUUCAUUAAAUAGUUAAAACCACAUACUUCAAAUUUUUGUACAUAUCUGUUGAAAAGCUCAGGGAUUGCCUGUGCAGAUCCAGUUGCGUAUUCACAUUUGGGGUGUUUAUAUAACCUGAUAUUUU